rnacentral:rRNA from 1 species
UAGCGUAUGUUAAAGUUGUUGCGGCUAAAAAGCUCGUAGUUGGAUUUCUGUUGAAGUGACCCGGUCCGCUCUAUGAGCGAGUAUCUGGGCUUGCUUCGGCAUCCGCUCAGCAUACGUGUCUGCGCUUGAUUGCGUGGCGCGGACGUUGAGCCUUUUACUUUGAGGAAAUUAGAGUGUUCACGGCAGGCUUUCGCCUUGAAUAUAUUAGCAUGGAAUAAUAACAUAGGAUCUUGGUUCUAUUUUGUUGGUUUCUAGGGCUAGGAUAAUGAUUAAUAGGGACAAUUGGGGGCAUUCGUACUGUCGCGUC